rnacentral:sRNA from 1 species
GUUUAGCCCUGAUUAAAAUGGAAAGCAUUGCGCAGAGAAAAUCUAUUUUUUCUUGUCUUAGAAAAGCGACCAACGGAAGCUCUUUCUAGGAUUUAGAAAAAAAGAUUUUUGCAAGCAAUCUUGGAAUGGAAAGCAGGAUUAGCU